CUACGACCCAGAGAUCAAUGCGAAGUAUUGUAUUUCUCCGUGGUGUUGCUGGUGGUACGUUCUGCCCCUGUAGCUCUCUGCAGGUUUUGCCAUUUGAAAAGGAGCUCAGUACAGCGUCCGCCUUCCCCUCCCUUUGUGCAGUGCUGAGCACACAGAGCCUGGGCAGGCUGAUGGUGUAGAGUAAAACCUGCAAGUAUAUUGGUGAUCCUGAGCCCGGCUGUACCUGGGGAUGCAGCUAAACCCACUCAAAAGUAAUUUCUGAUAUACGAACAGUGUGCCACGGCUAACUAAACACGAAGGGAGAAACCUGAUUUUGCAAUGUUCCGUGCAAACAGAAGUACGGUGGUGAUGGACUGGGAGUCUACGGCACAGGAUGAUAAAUACUUCAGCAUGACUCCACGUGUGCUUCUGGGAGAUUUCUGAGGUUGAAAUC